AGGACAGACUUUUGAAGCCUUUAGGGGGAUUUUCUGGGUUUACAGGAGAAUGGAGAGACUUGGCUGCUGUCAUCAGCAGGGAUAUUUACCUUCAUGACCCUGACAUAAGAUGGGAUGACAUCAUUGGCUUAGAUGCCGCUAAGAGGCUUGUU